AAAAAAAUUAAAUGUUGCCACUUGUCCUGAGCUGGAAAAAUGGCUAACAGCUGAACUGUUCUAACAGAAUGGGAAGACAGAUGGACAAAUGACCUCCUGGUGCUGAGAGAGGGAAGGAGGCAGCUGCCUGUGGAUCCACUGUGCUGGGGCUAGCCCCAGAGGAGGGGGCUCACACUGCUGGGAGGUCCUUUCCAGGCUGUGUGGCUGCAGGUAAGUGGCUACCUGCUCUGAGGCUCUGCCUGGUUUUCUCUCUCUAAACAGGGCUCCAGCCUCCCCUUCUCCCGAGGGACAUGGCAGGUCUCUCAGCAAGCUUGGCCUCAUGUUAUGUGUGGGCUCAGCCCCUCACACACAGGCAUUCCCUGAACCAACUAGUAGGCUGUGUGCAUACAGCAGAGAGUGCUCGGCCUUUGGCUCCUCCGGGUACACUCCUGCUGCUGCUGGACAGGCUACGUCUGAAGCUUGUCCUCCCCACUUCCUGUGUGAGAUCCUAACCCUUUGUGGUGGUGCUAGGAGGUGGGGCCUCUGGGAGGUGAUGAUGACAUGAGGCUGGAGCCCUCAGGCGUUGGAUUCCUGCCCUUAUAAAAGAGGACCCAGAAGGCUCCCUUGCCCCUUCCUCCAAAUGAAGACACAACAAGAGGGCCCGGUCUAUGAACUAGGAAGCAGCCCUCACCAGACACCAAACCUGCCGGCACCUUGACCUUGGACUUCCAGCCCCUAGAACUGUGUGGAAAUAAA
rnacentral:lncRNA from 1 species